rnacentral:ncRNA from 1 species
UAAAAAUUAUUUAUGGUUUUUUAAUUUAUUGUUUAUUUAUUUUAUAUAUAAAUUUUAGUAGUUAUUUUUAUUUAAAAAAUAAAAAUAAAAAUUUAUUUAAAUAAGAAUUGUAGUAAAUAUUAUUAAAAAUUUAAGAAAUUAAGAUUUAGUAAUAUAAAAAUUUAUAACAAAUUUUGUGCCAGCAGUUGCGGUUAAACAAAAAUUAAAUUAAAUUUUAUUAAUAAUAAUAAAUAAAAAAAAAUGUUUGUAAAUAUUAAAUUAUAAAGUGAAAUUUUUAUUUUAAUUAAAUAAAUUAUUUUUAUGUUUUUAAUAAAUUUUAAUAAUAAACUAGGAUUAGAUACCCUAUUAUUUAAAAUUUAAAUUUUAAAAUAUUAAAAUAGUAGAUAAAUUAAUAUUGAAACUUAAAUAAUUUGGCGGUAUUUUAGUUUAUUUAGAGGAAUCUGUUUAGUAAUUGAUAAUCCACGAAUAAAUUUACUUAAUUUAUAAAAUUUUUGUAUAUCGUUGUUAGAAAAAUAUUUUUUAAUAAAAUUAAUAUUUAAAAAUUAAAAAUUAAAAAUUAAAUCAGAUCAAGAUGCAGAUUAUAGUUAAGAUAAUUAAAAUGGAUUACAAUAAAUUUAUUUAAAUUGAAUAAUAAUUUGAAAUAAAUUAUUUGAAAUUGGAUUUAAAUGUAAUUUUAUUUAAUUUAAUAAAAUGAUUUAUAUUUAAAAUAUGUACAUAUUGCCCGUCGCUUUCAUUAACUAAAUUGAAAUAAGUCGUAACAAAGUAGAAGUACUGGAAAGUGUUUCUAGAAAGAA